rnacentral:rRNA from 1 species
UACAGAGGGGGCAAGCGUUGUUCGGAAUUACUGGGCGUAAAGGGCGCGUAGGCGGCCGCCUAAGUCAGACGUGAAAUCCCUCGGCUCAACCGGGGAACUGCGUCUGAUACUGGGUGGCUUGAAUCCGGGAGAGGGAUGCGGAAUUCCAGGUGUAGCGGUGAAAUGCGUAGAUAUCUGGAGGAACACCGGUGGCGAAGGCGGUUCUCUGGGCAUUACCUGACGCUGAGGAGCGAAAGUGUGGGGAGCGAACAGG